rnacentral:rRNA from 1 species
CUUGGUCAUUUAGAGGAAGUAAAAGUCGUAACAGAGGUUUCCGAAGGUGAACCUGCGGAAGGAUCAUUAUCGAGUUUUGAAAGAGGUUGUACCUGGCAUUCCGAGGCAUGUGCACGCCCCGCUCAAUCCACUACACACCUGUGCACUUACUGGGGGUUUCGGAGGUGAAGCGUGCUUUCGCUCGCGGAUCCAACGGGCCCGCGGAGCACUACAAACACUUUAAAGUAAACGAACGUGUAUCGCGAUGUAACGCAUCUAUAUACAACUUUCAGCAACGGAUCUUUUUGGCUCUCGCAUCGAUGAAGAACGCAGCGAAAUGCGAUAAGUAAUUGAAUUGCAGAAUUCAGUGAAUCAUAGAAUCUUAGAACGCACCAUGCGCUCCUUGGUAUUAAUAGGAGCAUGCCUGUUUGAGUGUCAUGAAAUUCUCAACCUACCGGUCUUUGCGGAUCGGUAAGUCAUGGACACCGAGGCUUUUCGGCCCGUGUGGUCGACUCCUCUCAAAUGCAUUAGCCUGGUUCCUUGAGGAUAGGCUCUCGGUGUGAUAACUCUUUUCGCCGAGCCCAUGAAGCGUUUGGCGGGGUUCUAACUGUCUUCCAGAAGACAACUUUACGACCUUUGACCUCAAAUCAGGUAGGAAUACCCGCUGAACUUAAGCAUAUCAAUAAGCGGAGGA